rnacentral:misc_RNA from 1 species
GAAAUGCGAUAAGUAAUGUGAAUUGCAGAAUUCAGUGAAUCAUCGAAUCUUUGAACGCACAUUGCGCCCGCCAGUAUUCUGGCGGGCAUGCCUGUCCGAGCGUCAUUUCAACCAUCAAGCCCCCCGGGCUUGUGUUGGGGACCUGCGGCUGCCCGCAGGCCCUGAAAACCAGUGGCGGGCUCGCUGUCACACCGAGCGUAGUAGCAAUCACCUCGCUCAGGGCGUGCUGCGGGUUCCGGCCGUUAAACAGCCUUACAAAACCCAAGGUUGACCUCGGAUCAGGUAGGAAGACCCGCUGAACUUAAGC